rnacentral:rRNA from 1 species
AUUGAACGCUGGCGGCAUGCCUUACACAUGCAAGUCGAACGGUAACAGGUCUUCGGAUGCUGACGAGUGGCGAACGGGUGAGUAAUACAUCGGAACGUGCCCGAGAGUGGGGGAUAACGAAGCGAAAGCUUUGCUAAUACCGCAUACGAUCUCAGGAUGAAAGCAGGGGACCGCAAGGCCUUGCGCUCACGGAGCGGCCGAUGGCAGAUUAGGUAGUUGGUGGGAUAAAAGCUUACCAAGCCGACGAUCUGUAGCUGGUCUGAGAGGACGACCAGCCACACUGGGACUGAGACACGGCCCAGACUCCUACGGGAGGCAGCAGUGGGGAAUUUUGGACAAUGGGCGCAAGCCUGAUCCAGCCAUGCCGCGUGCAGGAUGAAGGCCUUCGGGUUGUAAACUGCUUUUGUACGGAACGAGAAGACUCUGGUUAAUACCUGGGGUCCAUGACGGUACCGUAAGAAUAAGCACCGGCUAACUACGUGCCAGCAGCCGCGGUAAUACGUAGGGUGCGAGCGUUGAUCGGAAUUACUGGGCGUAAAGCGUGCGCAGGCGGUUAUGUAAGACAGAUGUGAAAUCCCCGGGCUCAACCUGGGAACUGCAUUUGUGACUGCGUAGCUAGAGUACGGCAGAGGGGGAUGGAAUUCCGCGUGUAGCAGUGAAAUGCGUAGAUAUGCGGAGGAACACCGAUGGCGAAGGCAAUCCCCUGGGCCUGUACUGACGCUCAUGCACGAAAGCGUGGGGAGCAAACAGG